rnacentral:lncRNA from 1 species
CCGCAGGCCCGCCCACUCCUCGCUUCUCCACUUCCCUUCUCGAAGUGUCCGGUCGCUUCUCGCAGGCGGCGCGCUUGCUGGGUCACAGUGAGGCGGCUCCGCGCAGGCGCAGCCGGGCGGGCGAGGAGCGGGGAAGCUGACUCAGGGCUGCGGCCGGGGUCCUGCGGGGUAGGAGCGCGAGGCCGGCCUGAGGGAGGAGGCCUAGCGACCCAUCCGGCGCCUCCCGCCCCGGGCACCCGCCCGCGGCCGCGCAUCCUGCGGGCCCCAGGAGGCCUCCAUCUCAAAACAACGUGUUUUUAGAGAACUCAAGGGCUGUGAAAAGAGCAGGACCUCACCAGCUGCACGGCGGUGGUGACUGGCUCCAUCUUGCUGUCCCUCCCAAUCACACAACAUCUCCCCUUGAAGGCUCUGCCCAGGCCCGGACUCCCACCUUUCAAGAUGUCUGGAUCAGUGCAGGACCUCCUCCUUGGCCACAUCGCUCUCCUUGGACUGUGUUGACUCACCUGUGGAGUGGUCUGAGCCUGAAUGCCCGGGGCUGUGGCCACCGAGUGAACGGGCUGUGCUAAGGGGAAUUGCCACCUUGGGAAACCUGUGUAGUUGCGGCUUUUCUGAUUAAGUAUCAAUAAAAGUCUGACCUUGUGAAAAAAGCAAACGUGAGUGGCCCUGCUUAUGUUUCACCUUGCGUUGCUCAGUGAUAGUUCUGCAAAGUCGCAGGAAACCUGGAAUCAUCUAAUUAUCGUGAGUGUUGGUGAGUAACACCCAUAGGCACUGGCUCCCGGGGAAAUACAGAGUCAGGUUCCUCCGAGCCGCUGGCCACAGCAUUUUUGUUAAGCAGUUCAUCGUUAACCUUGUUGUACAUGUCUCUCUCUCAAGGUUCCUUAUUUAAUAAUGUCUAGUUGAUUCAUUAACAUGGAAUUCAUGGCCAGUACCUCUGUCACUCAUGCCUGACUGAAGUUGAUCAGCACGUCUUUUUCUCCCUUAGGCACAUGACAGCCUUCUUGCAAUCAAGAAACUACGUGUGGCCAGGAUCUCAUCCACUAUCACAGUUUCAGCUUUCCCCAAACUGGAAUGUGUCUUUGCAGACGCCCAUCCUUAUUAAAGGGCAAAGACUUCUCAUACACCUAGGAUGGAUCUUAUAUUCUUGGCGGGACUGCAGAGAAGGUGCCGUGUCCUGAGUCCUCAUGUCAGGGCACAGGCUUCCAGCCAGUUCUACCUGGGUUAUGUUUAUCUCAAUUCCCUGGUGGUAUUGGUGUCUGCUGGGUUUUGCCAGAAUGAAGACACCGUGUUUUCAUUUGUCAGUUGAUUCGUAUUUUCCAGGAAGACAUUCUGAGAUUACAGCAUUGUCUUAGUCAAGGUGCUGCAGAAGGACAGAACUAAUAGGAUAUAUGUACAUAUGAAAGAAAGUUUAUGAAGAACUGGCUCACACCAUCACAAGGCAAAGUCCCAUGACAGGCCAUCUGCAAGCUGAGGAGCGAGGAAGCCAGCAGUGGCUCAGCCGGAGUCCAACAGCCUCAAACGGAAUCCAACAGUUCAGGCUUCAGUCUGUGGCCAAAUGCCCAGAGACCCCGGAAAGCUACUGGUGUUAGUCCCAGAGCCGGAAGGCCAAAGAACCUGGAGUGUGAUGUCCAAGGGCAGGAGGAAUGGACAGAAGCAUCCAGCAUGGGGUAAAGACGAAAGCCAGAAGACUCAGCAAGCUAGCUUACCUACUUUCUUCUGCCUGCCUUGUUCUAGCCGCGCUGGCAGCCGGUUGGAGGGUGCCCACCCCCACUGAGGGUGGAUCUUCCUCUCCUAGUCCACUGACUCAAAUUUCAGUCUCUCUGGGAGCACCAUCACACCAGAAACAAUACCAGCCAUCUAGCCACCCUUCAGUUCACCAUCACAACCAUUGUCUUAUUCAUGAAACUUCUGCAGACCCACCUUAACCUCCAUCGGUGACUUCUACCUGAAGCCCUCUGAUUGUUGCCCAGUGGUGCUUUUUAAAAUAAUUUCCAUAGUUUCUUCUACACCUUUAGUUGGCAUUCUACUGUAAAGGAGAGAUUUUAUUUUCUUACUCAUUUAUUUGUUAGUUUAUAGUCACCACCAUAUGGAUGCAGAGUUCUGUCUCAUUCACUGGGAAGUAUUCUAUUGCAGUCAUGAUUUAUUUUGAUGUUCACAUCCCAGAGUUGGUGAGUGAGCGCCCCUUCACGCUGGCUCCCGAGUGCUGACGUGUCCCCGUCCUUCUCUGCACUUUUCCUUACCUCCUGGCCUCAGAUAUUCCAGGGUCAUUUGUUCUCUCCCUGCUCCAACCCUGCAGUCAGCCAUCUCCCUAGGGACGUUGGUUCCUUUAUGGAAGGUGGCAUUUAGAAGCCAGGAUUUGGGCUGAGCACUGUGGCUCAUGCUUGUAAUCCCAGCACUUGGGGAGGCCGAAGUGGGCGGAUCGCUGGAGGCCAAGAGUCUGAGACCAGCCUGGCUAACAUGGUGAAACCCUUCCCCGUCUCUACUACAAAUAAAAAAUUAGCUGGGUGUGUUGGCACGUGCCUGUAAUCCCAGUUACUCAGGAGGCUGAAGCACCAGAAUCUCUUGAACCCAGGAGGCCGAGGUUGCAGUGAGCCAAGAUUGCACCACUGCACUACAGCUUGGGUGACAGCGCGAGACACCGUCUCAAAAAGGAUAAUAAUUUAAAAAACAGCAGGAUUUGGGUGAGCAGUGCGCUCAUUGCUUCUGGGCUCUCUCGGUGGACAUAGGCUAGGAAUGUAAGAUGUAUGUGCCUGUGUAUAUACACACGUCUGUAGCUAUGUCUAUGUUGCAU